rnacentral:rRNA from 1 species
CGAACGCUGGCGGCAGGCCUAACACAUGCAAGUCGAACGAACUCUUCGGAGUUCGUGGCGGACGGGUGAGUAACACGUGGGAACGUGCCUUUUGGUUCGGAAUAACUCAGGGAAACUUGUGCUAAUACCGAAUGUGCCCUUCGGGGGAAAGAUUUAUCGCCAUUAGAGCGGCCCGCGUCUGAUUAGCUAGUUGGUGAGGUAACGGCUCACCAAGGCGACGAUCAGUAGCUGGUCUGAGAGGAUGACCAGCCACACUGGGACUGAGACACGGCCCAGACUCCUACGGGAGGCAGCAGUGGGGAAUCUUGCGCAAUGGGCGAAAGCCUGACGCAGCCAUGCCGCGUGAAUGAUGAAGGUCUUAGGAUUGUAAAAUUCUUUCACCGGGGACGAUAAUGACGGUACCCGGAGAAGAAGCCCCGGCUAACUUCGUG